rnacentral:rRNA from 1 species
UACGAAGGGGGCUAGCGUUGUUCGGAAUUACUGGGCGUAAAGCGUAUGCAGGCGGAUCGUUAAGUCGGGGGUGAAAUCCCGAGGCUCAACCUCGGAACUGCCUUCGAUACUGGCGACCUUCGAGUCCGGGAGAGGUGAGUGGAACUCCGAGUGUAGAGGUGAAAUUCGUAGAUAUUCGGAGGAACACCGGUGGCGAAGGCGGUUCUCUGGGCAUUACCUGACGCUGAGGAGCGAAAGUGUGGGGAGCGAACAGG